GACGAACGCUGGCGGCGUGCUUAACACAUGCAAGUCGAACGGUAAGGCCCUUCGGGGUACACGAGUGGCGAACGGGUGAGUAACACGUGGGCGAUCUGCCCUGCACUUCGGGAUAAGCCUGGGAAACUGGGUCUAAUACCGGAUAGGACUCCGGACUGCAUGGUCUGGGGGGGAAGGUUUUUGCGGUGUGGGAUGGACCCGCGGCCUAUCAGCUUGGUGGUGGGGUGAUGGCCUACCAAGGCGACGACGGGUAGCCGGCCUGAGAGGGUGACCGGCCACACUGGGACUGAGAUACGGCCCAGACUCCUACGGGAGGCAGCAGUGGGGAAUAUUGCACAAUGGGCGCAAGCCUGAUGCAGCGACGCCGCGUGAGGGAUGACGGCCUUCGGGUUGUAAACCUCUUUCAGCAUCGACGAAGCGAAAGUGGCGGUAGGUGCAGAAGAAGGACCGGCCAACUACGUGCCAGCCGCCGCCGUAA
rnacentral:rRNA from 1 species